rnacentral:rRNA from 1 species
CGGCGGACGGGUGAGUAACACGUGGGUAACCUGCCUGUAAGACUGGGAUAACUCCGGGAAACCGGGGCUAAUACCGGAUGCUUGUUUGAACCGCAUGGUUCAAACAUAAAAGGUGGCUUCGGCUACCACUUACAGAUGGACCCGCGGCGCAUUAGCUAGUUGGUGAGGUAAUGGCUCACCAAGGCGACGAUGCGUAGCCGACCUGAGAGGGUGAUCGGCCACACUGGGACUGAGACACGGCCCAGACUCCUACGGGAGGCAGCAGUAGGGAAUCUUCCGCAAUGGACGAAAGUCUGACGGAGCAACGCCGCGUGAGUGAUGAAGGUUUUCGGAUCGUAAAGCUCUGUUGUUAGGGAAGAACAAGUACCGUUCGAAUAGGGCGGUACCUUGACGGUACCUAACCAGAAAGCCACGGCUAACUACGUGCCAGCAGCCGCGGUAAUACGUAGGUGGCAAGCGUUGUCCGGAAUUAUUGGGCGUAAAGGGCUCGCAGGCGGUUUCUUAAGUCUGAUGUGAAAGCCCCCCGGCUCAACCGGGGAGGGUCAUUGGAAACUGGGGAACUUGAGUGCAGAAGAGGAGAGUGGAAUUCCACGUGUAGCGGUGAAAUGCGUAGAGAUGUGGAGGAACACCAGUGGCGAAGGCGACUCUCUGGUCUGUAACUGACGCUGAGGAGCGAAAGCGUGGGGAGCGAACAGGAUUAGAUACCCUGGUAGUCCACGCCGUAAACGAUGAGUGCUAAGUGUUAGGGGGUUUCCGCCCCUUAGUGCUGCAGCUAACGCAUUAAGCACUCCGCCUGGGGAGUACGGUCGCAAGACUGAAACUCAAAGGAAUUGACGGGGGCCCGCACAAGCGGUGGAGCAUGUGGUUUAAUUCGAAGCAACGCGAAGAACCUUACCAGGUCUUGACAUCCUCUGACAAUCCUAGAGAUAGGACGUCCCCUUCGGGGGCAGAGUGACAGGUGGUGCAUGGUUGUCGUCAGCUCGUGUCGUGAGAUGUUGGGUUAAGUCCCGCAACGAGCGCAACCCUUGAUCUUAGUUGCCAGCAUUCAGUUGGGCACUCUAAGGUGACUGCCGGUGACAAACCGGAGGAAGGUGGGGAUGACGUCAAAUCAUCAUGCCCCUUAUGACCUGGGCUACACACGUGCUACAAUGGACAGAACAAAGGGCAGCGAAACCGCGAGGUUAAGCCAAUCCCACAAAUCUGUUCUCAGUUCGGAUCGCAGUCUGCAACUCGACUGCG